UACGUAGGGUGCAAGCGUUAAUCGGAAUUACUGGGCGUAAAGCGUGCGCAGGCGGUUCGUUAAGUCAGAUGUGAAAGCCCCGGGCUCAACCUGGGAACUGCAUUUGAAACUGGCGGGCUUGAGUGUGGCAGAGGGGGGUGGAAUUCCGCGUGUAGCAGUGAAAUGCGUAGAUAUCGGGAGGAACACCAGUGGCGAAGGCGACUUCCUGGCCUGUUCUUGACGCUGAGGCGCGAAAGCUAGGGUAGCAAACGGG
rnacentral:rRNA from 1 species